UACGGAGGGGGCAAGCGUUGUUCGGAAUUACUGGGCGUAAAGGGCGCGUAGGCGGGUCGUCAAGUUGGGGGUGAAAGCCCGGGGCUCAACCUCGGAAUUGCCUUCAAAACUGACGACCUAGAGUUUGGGAGAGGUGUGUGGAACUCCGAGUGUAGAGGUGAAAUUCGUAGAUAUUCGGAAGAACACCAGUGGCGAAGGCGACACACUGGCCCAAUACUGACGCUGAGGCGCGAAAGCGUGGGGAGCAAACAGG
rnacentral:rRNA from 1 species